AUCCGCCGCUUUUAACGUUAUUUUCACGAAAUUAGUAAAAUAACGUUAAAGUUAGUACCAUUUCACUUUUGCCCCCCGAGCGCCCACACAUAUAUACAUUCACACCGCAAGCGGGGCAUAAAAUGACUACUUGCAGAGUGUGGUAGUUAUUUAAUAUAUUACUUUUUUUUUUUCAACUUGCAGUGAAGUGAUCAUCAAAAUAGAAUGAUUCAGUGAUUGCAAAUUGAAUAUAGGAAGUGUUAAAUAGUUAGUAAUGAAGAUUUGGGAACUAUGAAACCAUGUUUUGAGGUUAGAUAUGUUUGAAAUUGCGUAUAAGUAAAUACUUUAGUUAACUAAAAUCAGUAACUGGAUUGUGUUAUUUCUUAACUGAUACAAUGAUUUGGUUGAAAGUAAAUUCUAAUUAGUUCGAAUGUGAGAGAAUGAAGAAAGUUAACGGGGUUGAACCGUAGAAGAGUCAAUCAAAAGAUAGGAUUAGUUUAUUUAGUAUGUUAAUUGGUCGAAUGGUUUGUUUAAUUGCAUGUUUACCUCCUUCUUUAAAUUCAUAGGUUUUAGGAGUUUUGAGUCGAAGAAGUCAGGAAGUCAUUGAAAUGAAUAACUUGUUAGGGUCUAUGUAUAAUUUGUGUGCAAGUUUAUUGAAUAGAAGAAAACGUCCUGAUCCUUGUUUUGUUCACAAAAAAAAAUGUUGAAUCCUUCUUUUGCGUGAAAUAAUAAAUCUUGCAAAAAAUUUCUGCUGAAUAUUGAAUUUUAUGUAUGAAACAGUUGGAAGCUAUCGUUUUUCCUCUUUGCCUCACUUUUCUAAUGUAUAGGGGGUCGUUUAUUCUCAAAUUUAUAUCAGUUUGGAGUUCAUGGACCAAACAUGGGGACCGCCAGAUAGAUGUAUCAUUUCAUGGUAUAAAGAGUGGUCUGCAAAACCUCAUUAACUGGAUCGUUUCAGCUGUUUACAAGCAACCUCACUUGAACCACUUAUUGGAGUUCUACAUGCAACAAAAUUCCAGCUUGCUGAAAGCUUCCAUGGUUGUAGGUAUGUUCGACCCAUUUGACCCUCUGUAGCUAUUUUUUAGUUUUUUACUCGUUUGACCCGUUUGUGAUUUGGGGAUUUUGUAUUUUUGACUAGUUAAUUAAUUCGUUUAUGUAAUAUUGAGAGUGUUGUAGAAAAGUGAUCUUUAAAAAGUUUAUAUCUUGAUUCUAUAAUACUAUAUGUGUCUCAUUCAUGUUCAA